GACGAACGCUGGCGGCGUGCCUAAUACAUGCAAGUUGAGCGCUGAAGGUUGGUACUUGUACCAACUGGAUGAGCAGCGAACGGGUGAGUAACGCGUGGGGAAUCUGCCUUUGAGCGGGGGACAACAUUUGGAAACGAAUGCUAAUACCGCAUAAAAACUUUAAACACAAGUUUUAAGUUUGAAAGAUGCAAUUGCAUCACUCAAAGAUGAUCCCGCGUUGUAUUAGCUAGUUGGUGAGGUAAAGGCUCACCAAGGCGAUGAUACAUAGCCGACCUGUGAGGGUGAUCGGCCACAUUGGGACUGAGACACGGCCCAAACUCCUACGGGAGGCAGCAGUAGGGAAUCUUCGGCAAUGGACGAAAGUCUGACCGAGCAACGCCGCGUGAGUGAAGAAGGUUGUCGGAUCGGAAAACUCUGUUGGUAGAGAAGAACGUUGGUGAGAGUGGAAAGCUCAUCAAGUGACGGUAACUACCCAGAAAGGGACGGCUAACUACGUG
rnacentral:rRNA from 1 species